rnacentral:misc_RNA from 1 species
GAAGUGCGACAAGUGUCAUGACUUGCAGAUUCCCGAGAGCUGACAAAUUUCUGAAUGCAAAUGGCGGCCGUCAAAACGGCCAUGUAUCGCAGAGUGUAGUUGUUCAUACUCAUCAUCCCCCUCAGCCAAAGACUUCUUGGCUGUGGAGACGGGAUCUGCGCUUGCGAUGUUUCCACGCGAGCGUGAAAAAAUGGAGCGCUCUGCGUUGCCUCGGCAGCGCAGCGGCGACUUCGCUUCAACCACGAAGUUCCUCUCCAAACACUCAUUCAUCCACCUCUGCGAUGCAGGAUAACCCGCUGAACUUAA